UACGUAGGGGGCAAGCGUUGUCCGGAAUCAUUGGGCGUAAAGCGCGUGUAGGCGGCCGCAUAAGUCCGCUGUGAAAUCUCGAGGCUCAACUUCGAGCUGUCGGUGGAAACUGUCUGGCUAGAGUCCGGAAGAGGAGAAUGGAAUUCCUGGUGUAGCGGUGAAAUGCGCAGAUAUCAGGAAGAACACCCGUGGCGAAGGCGGUUCUCUGGGCCUGUACUGACGCUGAGACGCGAAAGCGUGGGGAGCGAACAGG
rnacentral:rRNA from 1 species